GUGCUCAGUUCGCAGCACAGACACUUAAAUUGGAAUGAUACAGAGAUUAGCAUUGGCCCUGCACAAGAAUGACACACAAAGUCAUGAAGUGUUCCAUGUUUUU
ensembl:snRNA U6 U6 spliceosomal RNA